rnacentral:lncRNA from 1 species
AAAAAUCUAAAAUCUUCAGCUUGGGAAACAUCUCAAGGAGCUCAAGAAGCUCAAGAAGAUCAAGACGGCCACAUGCGUCCCUGCUACAGUGUUGUAGAAACUCAGCAUUCGGAAAUUGAACAAACAUAUCUUUCUCCUUCAAGGCGAGAAGCAACUGCAGGUACAUCAUGCAAAUUAAUAACAAAAGCAUGGGUACGAAAGUUAAAUUGCAGUAGCUAGUCCAAUUCGACAUUUUAAUUGUACAGUAUUAAUCAUAUCAUAAGGCAAUAAUGGGGAUAAGAAAUCAAACCUUAAUGUUCAACUCCGAUAAUUCAACCUUCUUAACAUGGCAGAAGCUUUGAAUAAGGUGGUAGAACGUUUCAAGAGGCGGAACGUAGACUUCACAAAAUCCAUUAAAAGAAGCAUAAUUCAAAGAAGGGACAUCAAACAAACAACUACCACCAUUACCAACAUUUACUCUCCAAAUUUGUAGAGUCAAGAGAUUAGGAGCACGAAUUUUCAGCAUUGCCGUUAUGUCAGCACUAUCCAGCCAAUGGCUGCGGAUUAUGAGCUUCUUCAAACUAGUAGAUUGUAUAGUGAAGUUUUCAUUAAUUUUACCAAUAAACAAUGUCAUCUCUUCCAAGAGAGGGGCAACCACGAGAAUUUUGCUGAUGGCAUCAUCACACGAGGAAUCCGGAACUUCAAUCCAUAAACUCUUGAGACGAUUCCACUGCACACUCCCCUCAAUCUCCAACCAACAACAUAAACCAAGGUGUAAUU